UUGCGCCGAAGGCGGUAGGGUGCGCGGGGAAUUGCUGCUUAGAGAAGACGGUCAACCAUUUACCGCCUUCAAGAGAUCCUGCUUAAAGACGGUGAACGAGUCACCGUCUUUAUGAGAAAUGCUGACCUGGCAGCUGAGGUGGCGAGAGGAGGGUUAGUUUUACAAAUAAAAUUUUCACAGGAUUAGUUUGGCAAAUAUGAAAUUUUACAGGGUUAUUUUCGGAAAAGUCCUUAUUAGAUGAUUUUAAUUUUAGCAUUUUUAGUUUUAU
rnacentral:lncRNA from 1 species